AUGGCGACUUUUGGAUUCAGCGUGUACGAGGACGAUGAAAACGCCCGAUCAAAUUUCGACAAACCCCUCAAAGAAACCAGCAACGUCAGCGCUAAAGUGCCUCUUCAGAAAAGAGCUGUCUUGGGACUGCUGAGCAACAACCCUGAGUACAAGAAACGAAUCCAGCCCAACCGAACUACGAAACAAGAAAUCACUGACAACAUCGUUGGUAACAAAGUCCAACUGCAGAAACCUCAAAAAGCUCAGGAAAAGGAAGAGCCAGCCGACAAAAAACCAGAAUCCAAAGAAAACUAUGAUACGCAAAAGCGAUCGUUCAUCAAUUCCAAACCGGCAGUCAAACUUGAUAGGCCAAUCCAAAAGGAACAAGAAGUUUGUGAUGAGGUCAGAAAUCUACCGAGUUUUCACUCAAAACUCCCUGAAAUCCACGAGGAUGCAAUUCAUGAUGUCUCAUUCGAGUCAAAAUGUUCGACGCCCGGCAAAAAUGUGCCAGAAUGGAACCAAUGUCUGAGGGCAGUUUCAUUUGUGAUACACCCAUGUCCAUCGAGAAAGCUCUCACUCCUAUCGUUAAGAAGUCAUGCCCGUCAGAUCACGUUCUUUACGACGUAUCCUUGUACAGUUCAGAAAUUUUUGCUUACAUGAGGGAAUUUGAGCUCAAACAUCGGCCGAAACCCAACUACAUGCGCAGACAACCUAGCAUUAAUGCCAGUAUGAGGACGAUCCUAAUAGAUUGGCUAGUUGAAGUAGCUGAAGAAUACUCGAUACAGACUCAGACCUUGUAUAUGGCUGUGAGCUUCAUCGACAGAUUCCUCAGCAUUAUGUCUGUAGAUAGAAGCAAACUUCAGCUCCUUGGAACUGCAGCCAUGUUUGUCGCUGCGUAAGUGGUUUACACCUUUAAGUUUCUUUAUCAGAGGGUCCCACAGUCAGGAACACUGGAAAAACAGAGAAAUGUCAGGGAAUUUUAAAAAUCUGGGAAAACAUGGAAAGUCAGGUAAAAUGAAGAAAGUGUCAGGAGAAAAUUAUAAAGUCACCAUUAUUAGCUUUUUAGAAUGAGUUUGACAUUUGGAACAACAAAGUUUACA
rnacentral:lncRNA from 1 species